CUCAUCCUGAUCACACAAUCACCGCUCCUCCUUGCUUCCUCCUCCUUCCCGUUGCCAUUCACUAGCUGGAGAAACACGCGUUUUAUCCACCGGCCUGGUCUCACACCGACGAUACAGAAAAAACAGCAAAUUUGACAUAACGUGUUGAGCAUUUGUCUUUGAAUACUAGUUUAAGCUCAACAACUUUACCCAGGAAGGUGAGUUAAGAGCUUGAAUAAGAUUUUCUAAUAAACAUUAAGCAGGAAAUGCCUUCCCCAAAACAGUGUAACAAUGGUGUAUUAGUGUUUGAUAUUCAAUCAGUAUCAAUAUUACUAACAUCCACAUGGUGAAACAUUAAGGGAAUGCAUUUCCUGUGUUGCAUCAGGAUAAUUUAACAUCGUGAAAAAGGCAUGGCUCGUGCAAUGUGUGAUUUGUUAGCAGAGCAAAACCUCAAUACCUACCGGAUUAAUUUGCUUGCAUGAACAUGUUAGUGUUUCUCACAAAUCCAUCAAUGUCAAUGAGUGUGAUUUCGUUUUUCUUUUAAUGUUUUUCUGUAGACUUGUUUACACCCUUUCCUUUUUGUGCAUGCUGGCAUGUCAUUGUGUCAUUUUUCAAGUCAACACUAAUUGAAUUUUUACCAAGAACAGUUUACAAUAGAGUCACAGUGAUGGGAAAAAUUAGUGUUGGUUAGACAUCGGACAUUUGAUUUUUGAAUUUAUGUUGAAAUCUAUAAUGCUCUGACUAGCUAUAUGCUGUGAUAAACCAGGGUCACUUGGUGCUGCUUGAUCUGUAUUAUUAUAUAAACUUCCUCUGAAUAUACAUUUGAUAAAUGCCUUUGCAGGAUGAGCAUAAUAACGAUGGGCUAAAGGGUUUUAUUGGCACUUCAGAAAGCUACUGUCAUUUAAAAACAUAGAAUAAGCUAAAAUCAGAAAUUCCAUGAUGUUAAAUUAAUUUCCCCAUCUGGCUAAUUAUAACUUAAAAGCUGUGUUUCCUUUUUUUAAUGAAUACUGUAGUAGCAAUUACUGUUAUGUACUUGAAAGCAGUCGUCCCAAGCAAUGGCUUUAUAAGCAAUCUUGGGCUUUUAUAAGGAUUUAUAUGAAAGUGUAAAUUACUUGUUGGUUUGGGAAAUCAUUGUGUAGCUUCGCUUAUAAUCGACUGCCAUUUAAUCAAAAGCGUUAGCACCCUGGUGUUAACUUUCCUUUACUUGCAUAUAUUCUUGAAUGUGAGCCAAGUUGGGACAUUUCCUUUACAAAUUUACAAGCAAGUAGAUUUCAUUCACUAAACAAUUUUAGUUUAUCUGCAUGGGUUUCUUCAAAUUUUCUGCAUGCUGCUUGCUUUUCUCUGGGACUGAUUUGUAGACUCUUGACUGUUGAGACUAGAGCUGGCCCGAUACCGUUUUUUGCUUACCGAUUCCGAUACCUGAACUUGCGUAUCGGCCGAUACCAAGUACUGAUCCGAUACCAGUGUGUCAUAUAUUUGAUUAUGUUUUAACAGCUGUGUACU